rnacentral:rRNA from 1 species
GACGAACGCUGGCGGCGUGCUUAACACAUGCAAGUCGAACGGAAAGGCCCUGCUUUUGUGGGGUGCUCGAGUGGCGAACGGGUGAGUAACACGUGAGUAACCUGCCCUUGACUUUGGGAUAACUUCAGGAAACUGGGGCUAAUACCGGAUAGGAGCUCCUGCUGCGUGGUGGGGGUUGGAAAGUUUCGGCGGUUGGGGAUGGACUCGCGGCUUAUCAGCUUGUUGGUGGGGUAGUGGCUUACCAAGGCUUUGACGGGUAGCCGGCCUGAGAGGGUGACCGGCCACAUUGGGACUGAGAUACGGCCCAGACUCCUACGGGAGGCAGCAGUGGGGAAUAUUGCACAGUGGGCGGAAGCCUGAUGCAGCAACGCCGCGUGCGGGAUGACGGCCUUCGGGUUGUAAACCGCUUUCGCCUGUGACGAAGCGUGAGUGACGGUAAUGGGUAAAGAAGCACCGGCUAACUACGUGCCAGCAGCCGCGGUGAUACGUAGGGUGCGAGCGUUGUCCGGAUUUAUUGGGCGUAAAGGGCUCGUAGGUGGUUGAUCGCGUCGGAAGUGUAAUCUUGGGGCUUAACCCUGAGCGUGCUUUCGAUACGGGUUGACUUGAGGAAGGUAGGGGAGAAUGGAAUUCCUGGUGGAGCGGUGGAAUGCGCAGAUAUCAGGAGGAACACCAGUGGCGAAGGCGGUUCUCUGGGCCUUUCCUGACGCUGAGGAGCGAAAGCGUGGGGAGCGAACAGGCUUAGAUACCCUGGUAGUCCACGCUGUAAACGGUGGGUACUAGGUGUGGGGUCCAUUCCACGGGUUCCGUGCCGUAGCUAACGCUUUAAGUACCCCGCCUGGGGAGUACGGCCGCAAGGCUAAAACUCAAAGGAAUUGACGGGGCCCCGCACAAGCGGCGGAGCAUGCGGAUUAAUUCGAUGCAACGCGUAGAACCUUACCUGGGUUUGACAUGGAUCGGGAGUGCUCAGAGAUGGGUGUGCCUCUUUUGGGGUCGGUUCACAGGUGGUGCAUGGCUGUCGUCAGCUCGUGUCGUGAGAUGUUGGGUUAAGUCCCGCAACGAGCGCAACCCUUGUUCACUGUUGCCAGCACGUUAUGGUGGGGACUCAGUGGAGACCGCCGGGGUCAACUCGGAGGAAGGUGGGGAUGACGUCAAGUCAUCAUGCCCCUUAUGUCCAGGGCUUCACGCAUGCUACAAUGGCUGGUACAGAGAGUGGCGAGCCUGUGAGGGUGAGCGAAUCUCGGAAAGCCGGUCUCAGUUCGGAUUGGGGUCUGCAACUCGACCUCAUGAAGUCGGAGUCGCUAGUAAUCGCAGAUCAGCAACGCUGCGGUGAAUACGUUCCCGGGGCU